rnacentral:rRNA from 1 species
GAUGAACGCUGGCGGCGUGCCUAACACAUGCAAGUCGAACGAAGCACAUUGGAUUGAUUCUUCGGAAGAAAGAGAAUGUGACUGAGUGGCGGACGGGUGAGUAACGCGUGGAUAACCUGCCUCAUACAGGGGGAUAACAGUUAGAAAUGACUGCUAAUACCGCAUAAGACCACGGAGUCGCAUGACUCAGUGGGAAAAACUCCGGUGGUAUGAGAUGGACCCGCGUCUGAUUAGGUAGUUGGCGGGGUAACGCCCACCAAGUCGACGAUCGGUAGCCGGACUGAGAGGUUGAACGGCCACA